CCUACGGGAGGCAACAGUAGGGAAUCUUUCACAAUGGGCGAAAGCCUGAUGGAGCAACGCCGCGUGCAGGAUGAAGGCCUUCUGGUUGUAAACUGCUUUUAUAAGCGAGAAAUAUGAUGGUAACUUAUGAAUAAGGAUCGGCUAACUACGUGCCAGCAGCCGCGGUCAUACGUAGGAUCCGAGCAUUAUCCGGAGUGACUGGGUGUAAAGAGUUGCGUAGGUGGCAUAAUAAGUAGCUAGUGAAAUCUGGUGGCUCAACCAUUCAGACUAUUAGCUAAACUGUUAAGCUCGAGACCGUUAGGGGUAACUGGAAUUUCUAGUGUAGGAGUGAAAUCCGUAGAUAUUAGAAGGAACACCAAUAGCGUAGGCAGGUUACUGGGACGGUUCUGAUACUAAGGCACGAAAGCGUAGGGAGCAAACGGGAUUAGAUACCCCUGUAGUC
rnacentral:rRNA from 1 species